CCUACGGGUGGCAGCAGUGGGGAAUCUUCCGCAAUGGGCGAAAGCCUGACGGAGCAACGCCGCGUGAUCGAAUGAAGGCCUUCGGGUUGUAAAGAUCUGUUGACAGGGACGAAUAAGCAAUGCGAAUAGUUUUGUGUAUGACGGUACCUGUUUAGAAAGCUCCGGCUAACUACGUGCCAGCAGCCGCGGUAAUACGUAGGGAGCAAGCGUUGUCCGGAAUUACUGGGCGUAAAGGGCGCGUAGGUGGGCGCUUAAGUCAGGUGUGAAAACUCCGGGCUCAACCUGGAGACUGCACUUGAAACUGGGUGUCUUGAGGGCAGGAGAGGAAAGUGGAAUUGCUAGUGUAGCGGUGAAAUGCGUAGAUAUAUGGAAGAACACCAGUGGCGAAGGCGGCCGCCUGGCCUGUUACUGACGCUGAGGCACGAAAGCGUGGGGAGCAAAUAGGAUUAGAGACCCCUGUAGUC
rnacentral:rRNA from 1 species